UUGGCGCAGAGCGUUGCGUAGAAGAGGGAAAGAGAUGGUGGAUAGUGGAGCAAAGAUGAGAGUCGUUCAAUAUAGGUAAAAAUAGAAAUAGUAAGUGCAAAAAUGUGUCAAAAUACUUUUGUUAUCAUGUACUUAAAUCUAAUGUGCCGUCCAACUUCCGUUUAACAGUAAUUCAGAACGACUUUAGAGGGGUUAAAGCAGAAGAUUGGAGCUACAGAAGAAGAAUAAAUUCGGAAGUAAGGAAAUUGCCAGGAUGCUAAAAGUUUAUAUUAUGUUUAAAUAAUAUUUUACACAAUAUGAACAGAAACUCAUAGAUAAAGAAGAGUUAUAUUCAGAAAGAGAUAUUUCUCUUUGUCAUCAGUAGCCUCAAAAAUUCCUCGACGAGUUCCGUAGUUCUCGAAAUAAAUCGAAUCCAACUUACAAGCAUACUUUAAGGGUUCAAAAUAAAUUAGGGAUAUUAGUCAGUGCGUUCACUUGAAAAAAUAUGCAAUAAUUACUGGAAAGAACUUAUUUUAUCACUCUAUAAAGUGACCGGAAACUCUGCAAAAAAUUCGAUAUUUUGAAUUAAAUUUCAUAGUUUAUUUUUGUCAUGUCUAUGUGUUUUCUCAUGCAAAAUAGAAUAGAAAUUGACGAAAUAAUGACAAAAACUUUCUAUUUGUAAUUUCUAAUCACAUUUUUUCUUCAGUUGAAUUGAGGAUACGCUAAUGGUAAAUGCAAUUUUCAAAUGAUUUAUAUAAUAAUGAAUGAUGGAAAUACAUUUUUGAGAAAACUCCUUCCGGAUUUCUGACACUUUUAAUUAAUACCUGUAAUAGUACCAUUAUAUAAACACAAUCUAUCAUUCAUAUCCAAGGUUAUAUAUGAGUUAUAAUGGGAUAAAAUAUAAAUAGUGGAUAUACCCAAUACUAACAAUGCCAAUGGUUAAUUAAAAAGAUUAGUACAAGUUAUAUAAAUAGCAGAGAAAAUAAGCACCUACAUUGUUACUUAUAUUUUCAAUACAAUUGUUGAUAAUAGAUUUUUUGGGAUGAUUUGUAAAAGCUUAUUAUUUUUGUUCGCUGCCUUGGCAAUGGUGGUUGCGCUCACCGAUGAAGAACAAUUCGCCGAAUUUAAGAAAGAGUUUGAAAAAACCUACGACACUCCAGAAGAAGAAGAAAAGCGUUUUAAAAUAUUCCAAGAAAAUUUGAGGUUUAUUGAAGAAAACAAUAAGAAAUACGAUAAAGGGGAAGUAAGUAGCAGAUUGGAUAUUACCCCAUUCACUGAUCUAUCUGCUGAUGAGUGGUCACAUAGAAACCAUGAGUUAUCUCCAUUACCAAUUGCCUUGGACAAAUAGCCUUCUUUUCAGUGGUUUGUUGUGCUGUAUAACCUAAUAAUUUGUUAAAAAUUGUAGUAGAUUUUGAAUAAUGUUAACAUAAUGGCUUGAAUAAAUUCAAUAUACCAAUUAUUUCAUGUCUGCAAUAUAUUUAUCGGGAUCUACAUGAUUAAUUUAAGCCGAUUCUUAAUUUCGAAAACAUUUUGCAUUAGGGAACGCAAAUACAAAAUUAUCUGAAGCUGUAUGCCAGUGUUAUGUCAAUUUUCAUAUGAAAUAUUUCCUAAAAUAAGCACCCGAAAGAAAAUACGAAAAAGCAGCGGAAAUUUGAAUCUUUCUAAGGUGUUUUAAAGAAAAACAAAUUUUUUAUUAUUCGCUUUGAUGAUCAUUGAAUAUUUUUCUUAAAUAAGGUAAAAAAGGUCUCUGUAUAAAAUAUAUGACAAGAAGAAGUCCUUUCCCUGACCUAGCAUUAUUACAUGUAAUACUUAAUCAUGUAUAAAAUACCUACAUUCCUAAUCGAACAUCAACAGUUUUCAUAAAAAAUUGCUAACGAGGCGUUGAGUCUAUGAGGCUGCAAAUGAUCAGUGGAAAACUGGAGGGCAUAUUUAAAAAUGACUAUAUUGAAUUUUGAAUGUUCAAUAAUAUAUUCAGUUUAGAUAUACAUACCAAUAUCAACACUGAUCAUUGUGCGUUCUGUAAUUAUCAUUUAUUUAUAAACAUUCAUUUUAAAAUAAGUCAUUCAGUCAUUAAAUUUUUCCUGGUAUUUAAUUUGCAAUGUUAUUAGUAUGUCAAGAUAUAAUGUGUUAAAUAUUAUCGGUGGCAUUUUGUAGAAACAGCAAUUUACCAUUAAUUCAAGGUUGUUUGAAUUUUAUUAUUAUAUACCAGAGAUCUUCCUAGAUUCCACCUAUAAAAAUAUAAAGUGAUUCUGAAUUUAUUUAGUUGAGUUUAUGUAUUCACGUUGUCCACAAAACUUUCUUUUUAUACUUAAAAAUGUUCAUUAAAUAUUUCCUAAUGUGUGCAGUUAUAAUGGUAGCAUAUGGUUUAACUGAUGAAGAAGAAUUUGCUAAUUUCAAGAAUAAGUUCCAGAAAAUAUACUCAACUCCAGAGGAAGAGCAGCAAAGGUUCAGAAUUUUCCAAUCUAACUUGAGAUACAUUAAAGAACAAAACCAAAAAUUCGCGAAUGGAGAAGUGAGCUCGUCCGUUGGUAUCAAUCAAUUCGCUGAUCUUUCGUCAAAUGAAUGGGCAAACAGAAAUCAUGGAUUAAAACCUUUACAAUAAUCUACUUAAUUUAUAUUUAUGGAAUAAAAUUUAAAUACAUUA